UGAACCUGCGGAAGGAUCAUUACCGAGUGCGGGUCCUUUGGGCCCAACCUCCCAUCCGU
rnacentral:rRNA from 1 species